rnacentral:lncRNA from 1 species
CAGAUUUUUCAGAAUGCAUCAUAGAAUUUUCAAAGCUGUAAGAAAGAGGUGAGGAUGCUGAGAUGUAGAGAGACUGAUUUGCUCAAGAUAACAAAGAGUUUUAUUGAUUUGGGAACCCAUGGAAGGGGGUCAGCUGUGAGAUAUCACAUGAUCAGACUGACUGCCUGACCAGACUGACUGCCAUCCUGUUAAAGGAAUGAAUCACAGUUCAUCUCGCAGAUUUAUGGCAUGCCUACAGAAAAAGUACCUU